AAGCAUGAUUGGGGCAUCCUGCUAGUUAACUCUUGAACCUCCUAUAAGUUUCACGAAGAGAUUCUCCUUCUUUUUGUUUGUAAUCGGAAAUCUCUUACCUUUUUCU
rnacentral:snoRNA from 1 species